UUUUGCUAAUAGCUACUAUCAAGAGGCUAGGGGGAGAGCUGGGGAGCUUGCUCUUUGGUGGGAGGAUGGCAUCUAAAUUCAUACUCUCACAAACUGAUAAUUUCUUUCAUAUUCUUUAUAGUGAUGUUGUUGGACAUGGUUCUUUUGUAUCUUUUAUUUAUGGUAGCCCCUACAAAGAAAGUAGACAACAUGUCCGCAAUCUUAUUUAUAACUUCAAGCCUGCCACUAGAGAUCCUUGGCUACUAUAAUCUAGUAUAAGCAAAAUAACCAGAUUCUCAAAUUGAAGGAUUCUCGGGGAUGCUGGAUCGAAGAUAAAAUUCUAUUAAAGGAUUUGGUAAUUUCUUUCUUCCA
rnacentral:lncRNA from 1 species